GACAGAGGGUGCAAACGUUGUUCGGAUUUACUGGGCGUAAAGCGCGCGUAGGCGGCUUUGUAAGUUAGAGGUGAAAGCCCGGGGCUCAACCCCGGAACUGCCUUUAAGACUGCAUCGCUUGAAUCCGGGAGAGGUGAGUGGAAUUCCGAGUGUAGAGGUGAAAUUCGUAGAUAUUCGGAAGAACACCAGUGGCGAAGGCGGCUCACUGGACCGGUAUUGACGCUGAUGUGCGAAAGCGUGGGGAGCAAACAGG
rnacentral:rRNA from 1 species